GCUCAGUAACACGUGGACAACCUGCCCUUAGGACGGGGAUAAACCCGGGAAACUGGGUAUAAUACCCGAUAGGUCUCGAUUGCUGGAAUGCAUCGAGAUUUAAAGCUCCGGCGCCUAAGGAUGGGUCUGCGGCCUAUCAGGUAGUAGUGGGUGUAGCGUACCUACUAGCCUACGACGGGUACGGGUUGUGAGAGCAAGAGCCCGGAGAUGGAUUCUGAGACACGAAUCCAGGCCCUACGGGGUGCAGCAGGCGCGAAAACUUUACAAUGCUGGCAACAGCGAUAAGGGAACCUCGAGUGCCAGGUUACAAAUCUGGCUGUCGAGAUGCCUAAAAAGCAUUUCAUAGCAAGGGC
rnacentral:rRNA from 1 species